ACAAUGGAGAGUUUGAUCCUGGCUCAGGAUGAACGCUAGCGGCAGGCUUAAUACAUGCAAGUCGUGGGGCAGCAUGAGUAGCAAUACUUGAUGGCGACCGGCAAACGGGUGCGGAACACGUACACAACCUUCCGAUAAGUGGGGAAUAGCCCAGAGAAAUUUGGAUUAAUACCCCGUAACAUAUAAUAUAGGCAUCUAUAUUAUAUUAUAGCUUCGGCGCUUAUUGAUGGGUGUGCGUCUGAUUAGGUAGUUGGCGGGGUAACGGCCCACCAAGCCUACGAUCAGUAGCUGAUGUGAGAGCAUGAUCAGCCACACGGGCACUGAGACACGGGCCCGACUCCUACGGGAGGCAGCAGUAAGGAAUAUUGGACAAUGGGCGAAAGCCUGAUCCAGCCAUGCCGCGUGAAGGAUUAAGGUCCUCUGGAUUGUAAACUUCUUUUAUUUGGGACGAAAAAAGGGAAUUCUUUCCCACUUGACGGUACCAAGUGAAUAAGCACCGGCUAACUCCGUGCCAGCAGCCGCGGUAAUACGGAGGGUGCAAGCGUUAUCCGGAUUCACUGGGUUUAAAGGGUGCGUAGGCGGGUAUGUAAGUCAGUGGUGAAAUCUCGGAGCUUAACUCCGAAACUGCCAUUGAUACUAUAUAUCUUGAAUAUUGUGGAGGUUUGCGGAAUAUGUCAUGUAGCGGUGAAAUGCUUAGAUAUGACAUAGAACACCUAUUGCGAAGGCAGCAGGCUACACAUAUAUUGACGCUGAGGCACGAAAGCGUGGGGA
rnacentral:rRNA from 1 species